rnacentral:lncRNA from 1 species
CCAUCAUAACGACGGUCUUAUCACGCCCGAAGUGACCAGCAAGACCUCCCCCAUGAACCUCCCAGAUGAUGUGGUCGCGAAGAGAGGUUUCUGGAAUACAUAGGCGUGUGCCACGGAAGAGAAAGCCGUCAUGGAUCGAAAAAUCAGAAUGCUGCCGGUGACUUCCUGCUGAAAUUUCGGUGUAGAUAGGCUGAAAAUAUGCAUCAGUAGAAUAUAGAAUUUUCAGAUCAUUGAAGCCCGU